rnacentral:tRNA from 1 species
GCGCCCUUAGCUCAGCUGGUAGAGCAACUGACUCUUAAUCAGUGGGUCGAAGGUUCAAAUCCUUCAGGGCGCA